rnacentral:tRNA from 1 species
GUUGUGGCUCAGUGGUAGAGCACUUGCCUAGUAUAAGUGAAGCACUGGGUUCGAUACUCAGCACAACA